AGAAGAAAAAAAAAAAAAAAAAAGAUGAGAGCAGCCGUUAAACAAGACUUUGUUGGGGCAAUAGCAACGAAGAGUGACAACUCUCCAGUUUAGGAAUGUUUUGAAACUUUGCAAAAAGGAAGGCAAAAUCUUGAGGAUUCGUGACACAUGUUCGACAUUCGAGAUUGAAUUUGAAUAUGAGCGCAUCUCGCGGAGCUUACCGAGUUUAAGCUUGAGUUAUCUUGGAGUUGUAGUGAGUUGCUUGGCUGAUCCAUGGUCCAAUCUCCCUCUAACUUUUUAUUCAUCCUGUUGGUCUAAUAUUAAGACAUGAUAUUUCUUACGUCUAGACAUAUCAUUUUAGUUUGAGAACGACAUCAUGUUUUAUAAGUUCAUGUACUUAUGACACUAAAUCUGGGAUAGUAUUUUAGCUUAUCACAUUUUAUAUUUGUGAAAGACUUAGUGUACAUGAUAUUUUACUUGUCACAUAUUUAAGUUGAAUUGGUAAACUUAUUGGGUUGACUUACAUA